UACAGAGGGUGCAAGCGUUAAUCGGAAUUACUGGGCGUAAAGCGUGCGUAGACGGUUAUGUAAGUCAGAUGUGAAAGCCCCGGGCUCAACCUGGGAAUUGCAUUUGAGACUGCAUAGCUAGGGUGCGGAAGAGGGAAGCGGAAUUUCCGGUGUAGCGGUGAAAUGCGUAGAUAUCGGAAGGAACACCAGUGGCGAAAGCGGCUUCCUGGUCCAGUACCGACGUUCAGGCACGAAAGCGUGGGGAGCAAACAGG
rnacentral:rRNA from 1 species